rnacentral:rRNA from 1 species
CCAACAGGGAUUGCCCUAGUAACGGCGAGUGAAGCGGCAACAGCUCAAAUUUGAAAUCUGGCUCCUUUGGAGCCCGAGUUGUAAUUUGUAGAGGGCGCUUUGGUGUUGGCAGCGGUCCAAGUUCUUUGGAACAGGACGUCACAGAGGGUGAGAAUCCCGUACGUGGUCGCUAGCCUUCGCUAUGUAAAGCCCCUUCAACGAGUCGAGUUGUUUGGGAAUGCAGCUCUAAAUGGGAGGUAAAUUUCUUCUAAAGCUAAAUACUGGCCAGAGACCGAUAGCGCACAAGUAGAGUGAUCGAAAGAUGAAAAGCACUUUGGAAAGAGAGUCAAAUAGCACGUGAAAUUGUUGAAAGGGAAGCGCUUGCAGCCAGACUUGCCUGUAGUUGCUUAUCUAGGCUUUUGUCUAGUGCACUCUUCUGUGGGCAGGCCAGCAUCAGUUUAGGCGGUUGGAUAAAGGUCUCUGUCAUGUACCUCUCUUUGGAGAGGCCUUAUAGGGGAGACGUCAUGCAACCAGCCUAGACUGAGGUCCGCGCAUCUGCUAGGAUGCUGGCGUAAUGGCUGUAAGCGGCCCGUCUUGAAACACGGACCAAGGAGUCUAACAUCUAUGCGAGUGUUUGGGUGUCAAGCCCAAACGCGUAAUGAAAGUGAACGGAGGUGGGAACCCUUUGGGUGCACCAUCGACCGAUCCUGAUGUCUUCGGAUGGAUUUGAGUAAGAGCAUGGCUGUUGGGACCCGAAAGAUGGUGAACUAUGCUUGAAUAGGGUGAAGCCAGAGGAAACUCUGGUGGAGGCUCGCAGCGGUUCUGACGUGCAAAUCGAUCGUCAAAUUUGGGCAUAGGGGCGAAAGACUAAUCGAACUAUCUAGUAGCUGGUUCCUGCCGA